rnacentral:lncRNA from 1 species
UCAUCUUGUUUGUAUUGAAAGGGCCCCUCACCAGGCAACAUAGCAAGUUUUGGUUAUAUACUGGAAGUUGUUACGUGCCUUCUAGGAAGCGUUCUACCGCAAGAAUUUUCCUAAUUGGUUUAUUAAUAGCCGAGA